UCUCUACAUUCUGAGUUCAAAUCCAGCCGAGGCCAACAUUGCUUUCCAUCCUUUCCAGGUUCCUUAAAUCCUUAAAAAUGUUUUAGCCCGAAGGCCGCGGCCAUGCUGGGGCAGCACCGCUAAAUUAAAGUACACUGUUGCUAAAUUAAAGUACGCUGUCGUCCCCCCCCACACACACACACACUCAAAAUUUGUUAGCCUUGAGCCUAGUUUAGUAACAGCGAGGGCAGUGGAUUGACAGAAUCAUUACAACAUCAGCAAAAACACCUUGCGGCAUUUGUUUCAAUUCUCUACAUUCCAAGAUCAAAUCCUGCUGAAGUCAACUUUGCCGUUCAUUUUUUUUUUUUUCUUAAGGUC